rnacentral:tRNA from 1 species
GGUGGCUCAGUGGUAGAGCGCUUGCCUUGCAUGUUUGAAGCCCUGGGUUCGCUUCCUAGCACCA